rnacentral:lncRNA from 1 species
CAUGUUACAGGUUCUUGCUAAGUCGCCCAUCCUGGGCUAAUAACAUUCAUUUGUUUCACUAAAGCCACCCUGAGUGCUAGGAAUACUAGGCAUGGACCACCGUGCCUGCCACAGAAAGUUCUUUUAGGGCUGGUUAUGUAGCUCAGUGAUGGAACAAAAAGCACUAUGUUCAAUGUGUAGUAUCUCAAAAUUUUCUCCAUUUUAAAUAAGCACAACCCACCAGAAUAUUGGAAUCAAAGUCCUCAUAUAGCCUGGAGUCCCAUUUUUUAAAAUUCCAUUGGGAAAGUAUGAGAAAAGAGAAGGCAGUAAUGUCAUGGUGUAAAUGCCAAGGGCAGAAGCAGUGAAGCGUUGAAAUGCAAGAAAAGCUCUAGGUGGCACAGGAAUGAAGGUGUGAGAUCACAAUUUGCUUAUGCAAAAAUAACUCCUACAGGCCUUUAGCAGUGUUUUUCAGUUGGAAUAAAAUUCUCAGCAUAUGUAUUAAAAUUAUCUUAGGGUGCUUUAAAAGUAGGCGUAGACUGCAAGUUGCUGUAUUUCUGACUUGCUACCAAAGCAGCCAUUUCUUCAUGAGGCAUACUUUGGUGAGGGGGAAGACAUGAGUUACAGUGGUUGAUUAGGAAAGCACACAGGGCUUUCAGAAUAUUGUUCUAGAGGUCAUCCCUGGGUGACUAUUAAGAAUUGAUGAAAGGAUGCCCUAUUUGGGAGUUAAAUGCAUUAAGGGAAAGUAGUGGCUAAUCUUAUGUCUGUACCAAAGUGGGAGAUCCUAAAAAGGAUCUUGGGAGACGUCUGGUAAGGUUAGAAGGUGAGAAGACAAAAUCUUCUCUGCCUUCAUACACAGCGUGUUAAAGUUAGCCAAACUUGGUUUGCUUAUUGCUCUUUGAAGUGUACAUAAAGUUUUAUUUUUUGAUUUUUUUGUUUUGUUUUUUGGGAUGGGCUGGCCUUGAACUUGGGACAAUUUUCCUAACAGCCUCCUGAGUGCUGCGAUUCCAGGCAUGCGCCACCAUGCCCAGUUCCAUGUUUUAUGUGAGGGUGGAAAUGUUUCAUGAGGUGUCCAGUGUGAUACCAAGUAGUGAUAGUUGUGAAAUGUGCUCAGUGUGACUGAAAUAUUUUAAAUUUUAUUUCUUUAGCUACAUGUGGCUACUUUGAGUAGCAUAAUACUAGAGAAUGAGAAGUUUCUAGACAGGUGCUGAUAAUUGGUUAUACUUAAUGCUUUUACAUGAGCAAAUGUGACAUAUUGGAGAUGUUGCAUGUCCUUGGUCCAUUGUUUUCUUAGCCCUUAGGCCCUAAAUCAGUAAUGAAGAUUUUCCUCCAAUGAGGUUAUCUACAACCUCAGGGAAUUGCAAGAAUGUCCAUGUUGCCCACACCUUAUUGCCUCUUGUAAAAUAACUUUCAAAUUAGGAAUCCUCAGUUGGCUUAGGCUCAAAGCAGAUUAUCUUCAAAUGAUGCGAGGCAAACAUUUAAAUCAUGGGUUUUUAAUUUUUGCUUGUAACCCUGUUACGUGUGCAAGUAAUGGCUGUGUUUCCAAGGAUUUGAGAUAGUGUUUUCAAAUCCCCACGAACCAAAACUUCAACCUAUUUUUUGACUUACCCAUGAAUUUUGAACAUUUGAGUAGGAAACAGAAGCACUGAGUCUGAGAAAACAACUUAUCCUAGCUACAGGUAACAUUGUAUGUCAGCACCUUCUCUGAAAUUUGAUAAGAACCAUAUCCCUACAGCAUGGGACCUGGUUUUGCUUCAGAAAUGCAGCAAAGAUAAGAGGCUCUCCCACCCAUCUUCCUCAGCUCUUGUAGAGCACCCAGACACAUAAUGAAACCAUUUCUGAUGGCUCAGACAACAUACUUGGCAAACACCUUGUUGAGAUCACUGUUGACUUCACAAUUCUCAUCCUGUACUUCACGCUUGGAUUUUGAUCCUGUGAACUCCCUGUGGUAUCUAUCACUGAACUCUAAAAAGACGUCUAUCCAAGGGACUUAACUAACACGAAUGGAGUUCAGUACCAGACUCACACAGGUCACAAAAAUAAAGCUGCUGUGUAUUUGGAGCAUAAGUCCUGCUCCCCAGAAUGGCAGACCCGAGAAUAAGGUUUUCAAAUUUAAUGGCUCAAUGUUCAUUUCCAGCUCAUUCAUUGGUUAAUAGCUUUUCCAGUUCCCAUUCAAGCUUAGGAAUCUAUGGACCAUGGCCUUGUCUGUCCUGUGUUCUAAAGGCUAAUUGCUCCAGAAGAAUAGAUGUUUCAGGGUCCCUCUUGGCUCUCCACCCAGAGUGAGGGCGUUUAGUUUAGUGGGGCUAGAUAGCUAACUAGCUAGAACAAGGUGCCAGCCAGGCUUACUCAGAUGUACAAUAUUUGACUUCCUUUUUUGGAAUUUAACUUUUUGAUGUGUUUUAUCACUAAGCCAAACCUACCCUUUACUAGAACUUUAUAUCUUUGCACAAAAGCUGCUUCUAUAAAGUAUACCUAAGGUUUCAGAAGCAGGUUGCCAGAAAGUUAACUGCUUAUGUAUUGGAAAUGCUACAGUGGGCUACUCUGCUCUUAAAUGUCCUUGGAUAUCCUGGACUGACUUUAAGCAUUUUUCCUUGUAGGGAUAUCCCAGCUCUUUGAGCACAAGAAGGAGUAGCCUGGUGGAAUCUAGUCCCCUGGGGUGAAAUCUAGCAGUGUCCGUCCUUAACUAUUAACUGCCCAUCUCUGGAAACAGCCUGUGUUUUUCAUUCCCUCACUUGGGAGUAGGCUUCCCAGUAAUGAAAUUGCCGGAUUAUACCUCCAUAGCAUGUGGAUAGGAUACAUGGCGGCACUUGGUGAAGUUUAUACUGCUUUGUCCUCUUACAUACUGUCCUGAAUAUAAAAGAAUGUCUUUCUUAGAAAAUAUUAACACCUUGGUGCAAUCUGUCUUUUCCUGAGUCAGCAAGCUCUCAGUGCAAAUGACAAAGGCUCAUUUUCCCUACCUCUCUCAACAAGUUAGAAACAUCCUAGUUGUGUCCAUGGUGGCCUUAAAAAGUCCAUACUCAAGCUUCUCUAAAUUCACUCUUGAUUUUUGCCCCCCUUUUCAGUUCUUUUUAGGUUUUAGUUGUAGUUCUAUACCAUUCAUCCCUCUCCCACUUCUCUGCAACUUUAUGGCAAUUCACAGUUCUCUUCUUGACCAAUAUUUGCACUAAGCAGCUUCAGAAUGCUCUGGACACAGUUUACAUGCACACAUCUUUUCUACUGUGCUAGACAUAGGAUUAAUACCUGCUGCCAACAGUGGACAUAUUCUUGUAUCUAGCUGAUACAGAUGCAUAGUUGUAAUUGCUGCGAUCUAAAAGAUGACACAUUUUACACCUACUGUUACAGUGCCUCCCGGAUUAUCUGUUGAGUCAUUUUAUUCCUGUCCAUGAGCCUUCUUCAGUACCAAUCUAAGUUGCCCUCAUUUUGCUUCUAGCAUACUGCAGUAAUCUUAUCUACCCACAUAUACUCAGAUCAAUUUCUAAUCAUUUGUUCAUACAACAGCCAUAUUGAUUUUUCCAAAGCACACAUAUCAUGGUAGUUCUUGGCUUAAAACCAUUCUGGCUUCAUUUGAUUUUAGAAGAUAAUGACAUGUCUUAAGUUCCUAAGUCCAAAGGUGGCCUAACCCUUGCCUAUGUGUAUGUCCCCUACCAUAUGCUCCCUCACUUUCCCUGUUAUCACAAUGCACCUCUCUUUGUCUCUUAAUUCUCAUGCACUCUCCCACUUUUGCCCAUUUAAUUUCCUAAUUCUAUUUAUCCUUCAGAUUUUAACUUAAAUGUCACUAAUAGGAGAAGCCUUCCAUUUUUAUUAAAAAUCUCCAGCUCUGCUCGCAUCACUCUUCAUAUGAUUGGUUAUUGUGGUUUUCUUAUUAAAGCUCAGAAAGGACCUCAUCUUUUUAGUGUUCAUUAAUGUAUCCCCAGUACUUGUGUCUGAAAGUAGUACAUGUUGAGUGGAUGAAUGGGGAUGGAAGAGGAACAAGUGGGGAAGGGUUUAACUGUGCAAGGCAGCCUUGGAAAUGGAAAGCAAUGCUGAAGAAUUAACUUCAGCACAACCAGAAAAAUGUUACAAUGCCUUGUGCCCAACUCGAAGGGGUGCAUAGAGGUAGGGUUCACAGCACUGUCUUUCAGUUUAGUAGUUCACAAUCUCAAUGUCACCCUCCAACAAGGCCCUCUAUGAUCGGUGUUUAAUGCUUUAAGUCUGAUAAUGGGGCAUCAUCCAAAGAAGGAUGUGUCCAUUGGGGUUAACCUGUUUUUUAAUCCAAUUUUCCUUAUAAGGUUCACUCUUAGCAGCUUUCCUACCCCUCACUCCACCCCCCAAAAUCUAACCUAGGGCACUCUACCAUUGAACUACAUCCCCAGGCCUUUAUAUUUUUUUCCUUUUUUGUGUGUGGAACUCAGGACCUUGCGCUUUCAAGGCAGGUGCGGUGCCACUGAGCUAAAGCCCUGGCCCCCUUUUUUAUUUUGAGACAGUCUUGCUAAAUUACCCAAGCUGGCCUCAAACUUGUGAUCCUCCUGCCUCAGCCUCAGCUUUCUGAGUAGUUGGUAUUAUUGCUGUGCACCACUCACACAUCUUGAGUAUCUAUAGCUUGAAGACUUACCAAAAAUGUGAAUAUGCCUGUUGAAACACUUCUCUGAUAAAGAAAUAGAAUAUUACAAACCUCCCUCAUCCGCUCAUUACUCCCACUAGAUUGCCACUCUUGUAUCAUCAUGGACAGGUUUUGCACAUUUCUGAACAAUAUAUAAAUGGAAGAGUAUUGAUUGUGCUGCUGAUGUUUGGGGUAGUCCUGAGAGCAGAGCUUGAGAAAAAAAAAAAACUUGGAGCAUUAGUUCACUUGAGUGAACUUGGAGGGAGAAAUGGGAGAAGGGGCAGUUAGGGAGGAAAAACCAACAUAAGGAUAUGUUACUGAGGUUGGAUACCUAAUGCUUUCCUAUAUUGUCUGACAGAGAAGAGUAUGGAAAGCUGGAAUAUUUACUAGCUUCUGUUCCCAACUGAUUGGAGGAUUCCUCCUGAGGAGGUUAACUUCCCUGUAAUUCUUAGCUAUAACUGGUCUUAUUAAGCUGUAGCAGCAUUGAAAACCAGUGGAUUUUCAGUUUGGCACAUCAUUAUUAUGAACAUUCUCAUACAUGGUUGUGAGAACAUUCUCAUAUAUGCUUGUCUCUUGGGUUAUAUAAAUCAGACGGAACUGCUUGGUCAUAGAGUAGGCAUAUAUUUAGUUCUAGUAGAUAUUGCCAAAAACUAUAAUGUGAUUGUACUAACACAUUCUCGGUAGCUAUAAAUGAACAUUUCAGUUCUACAUUCUUUUCAGCCCUUGGUAUUGUCGAUUCUUUUAUCUUUAGGCUUUUUUGUUUUGUAUUGUUUUUUGAGACAUGGUCUCACCGUGUAGUUUGGAAUAGCCUUGAACUCUCAGGCUGGCCUGAAACUUGUGAUCCUUCUGCCCCAGCCUCCUCUGAGUACAGGGAUUACAGGCAUCCAUCACCAUGGCCAACUUACUUUAGGCUUUUUAAUGGGUGUAUACUGUUACCUAAUUUAGUGUGUGUUUGCUUUUUGGUAAGCUUUCUGAAGUAUAAUUUCCAUGAAGUGCACAAAUCGUGUACAACUGUUAAGUUUUCACACAGAAACAGAGAAACACACACACACAGAGCAAGAAAUCAAGAUUGGGGGCCAGGGAUUUAGCUCAGUGGUGCUGGUGCCUGCCUGGCAAGUGCAAGGUCCUUAGUUCAAUCCCCGGUACUGAAAAAAAA